rnacentral:rRNA from 1 species
AGCCUACCAGGCGACGACGGGUAGCCGGCCUGAGAGGGUGACCGGCCACAUUGGGACUGAGAUACGGCCCAGACUCCUACGGGAGGCAGUGGGGAAUAUUGCACAAUGGGCGAAAGCCUGAGCAGCAGACGCCGCGUGGGGGAUGACGGCCUUCGGGUUGUAAACCCCUUUCAGCAGGGACGAAGCGAAAGUGACGGUACCUGCAAAAGAAGCACCGGCUAACUACGUGCCCACAGCCGCG